rnacentral:rRNA from 1 species
AUUGAACGCUGGCGGCAUGCUUUACACAUGCAAGUCGAACGGUAACAGGCCUUCGGGUGCUGACGAGUGGCGGACGGGUGAGUAAUGCAUCGGAACGUGCCCAGAGGUGGGGGAUAACGCAGCGAAAGCUGUGCUAAUACCGCAUGUGAUCUGAGGAUGAAAGCGGGGGACCAAGCAGCAAUGUUUGGCCUCGCGCCUCUGGAGCGGCCGAUGUCAGAUUAGGUAGUUGGUGGGGUAAAGGCCUACCAAGCCGACGAUCUGUAGCUGGUCUGAGAGGACGACCAGCCACACUGGGACUGAGACACGGCCCAGACUCCUACGGGAGGCAGCAGUGGGGAAUGUUGGACAAUGGGCGCAAGCCUGAUCCAGCAAUGCCGCGUGCGGGAAGAAGGCCUUCGGGUUGUAAACCGCUUUUGUACGGAACGAAAAGGCUCUGGCUAAUACCUGGGGCUGAUGACGGUACCGUAAGAAUAAGCACCGGCUAACUACGUG